UGAUCUCCUGUGUCACCGCGAGGAAGUGUUAUUACCCGGAGAGCGGCACAUCCGCGUAAAUUUACCGUUGUAUGUGUGUCGGUUGAAAGUCUCUUAACGUUCUUCAGAAAACGGUUUUGCAUUGCCGUUCUUUCUGUCUGUGACCGUUUUGGAGAACGGAAGUGCGCGUCGUGUUAAAUAGAUUAAAACAACAAAAAGUAGUACAGAAAAGUUAAAACAGUGAUCGAAAAAUCGUAAAGCGAUCAAAUAAAAACACAAAAAAAGUACGUUACCUAAACAAAACGUUAACAAACAUACAACAAACAUUGUAACAAAAGUGUGACGAAAAACAACAUAAAAAGGUCCAAGAGGGCCUUUUUUUUGUUCUUUUGGCUUUUCUAUCAGAGCACGGCGCCCCGGAGUAUUGUUACUGAAUCCCAAAACCGGAGUAAUCCAGACAGAAAGGAAUUGUCUGACACCGCUUCAGACCCGACGGCAAAAGGUCUACCGACAACAGCAUCAUCGGAAAUUGGCCAGUAGUUUUCAACUGUCGUUUAUUGGUCCUUCCGGGACGCCGGAAGUGGACCGGUGAAACAUUGGCCUGUUCCGAACCUACGAAGCUGCUCGCCGUGAAUCAACAAAAUGACCGCUGAAAACAACCAUACAUCGGGUUCCGCGGCCUUGACUAACGCCGCUGUGCCAGCAAUAGAACGAACCGCAAGUAUAGAUAAGCUAAAAACCUGUGACGUCAGUAGGGACAACUAGUAUAA